rnacentral:rRNA from 1 species
UACGUAGGGGGCAAGCGUUAUCCGGAAUUAUUGGGCGUAAAGCGUGCGUAGGCGGCUUUUUAAGCGUGGGGUUUAAGGCUAUGGCUCAACCAUAGUAUGCCCUGCGAACUGGAAGGCUUGAGUACAGGAGAGGAAAGCGGAAUUCCUAGUGUAGCGGUGAAAUGCGUAGAUAUUAGGAGGAACACCAGUGGCGAAGGCGGCUUUCUGGACUGAAACUGACGCUGAGGUACGAAAGCGUGGGGAGCAAACAGG